AUGCAACAAAAACAACAAAAUAAACUAGGGAAAUCAUCAUGGCUCAGACAUCCAAGGAAGGAAUUAGCAGCAUUAGCUCUCAAGCCUGGCAGGGCGAAAGCUCUUAGGCGGCAUCUGCGAAUGUUUAGAGAAACAAGCCUUAGUUCUAUCAUCAUCGCCAUUGAUUUCCCAGUAAAACUACACAAAAUAUUACAGGGAGGCAAUAGGUGUAAUCACAAAAAACGGCUCUGUGUACCGACUGAAUCACAGCCACAGGUUCCUAUCAAAUGUGAAAAUCUUUGUUGGCACAAUGUAGCAUCUCCGGUCAAGGCUUGUGGCUACCUGAGACGUGGCAUCGGGCCCAAGAAAACAGGAAAAAAGAAAGGUUGCAAGAGAACAGGCAUCAUUGCUUAG
rnacentral:rRNA from 1 species